UUUUUAGUAUAAGUAUGUCUCAUGCAAUAUUUGAGCAUAUUUAUACUAAAA
rnacentral:pre_miRNA from 1 species